GAUGAACGCUGGCGGCGUGCCUAAUACAUGCAAGUCGAGCGAACAGACGAGUAGCUUGCUCCUCUGACGUUAGCGGCGGACGGGUGAGUAACACGUGGAUAACCUCCCUAUAAGACUGGGAUAACUUCGGGAAACCGGAACUAAUACCGGAUAAUAUAUUGAACCGCAUGGUUCAAUAGUUAAAGACGGUUUUGCUGUCACUUAUAGAUGUAUCCGCGCCGCAUUAGCUAGUUGGUAAGGUAACGGCUUACCAAGGCAACGAUGCGUAGCCGACCUGAGAGGGUGAUCGGCCACACUGGAACUGAGACACGGUCAAGACUCCUACGGGAGGCAGCAGUAGGGAAUCUUCCGCAAUGGGCGAAAGCCUGACGGAGCAACGCCGCGUGAGUGAUGAAGGUCUUCGGAUCGUAAAACUCUGUUAUUAGGGAAGAACAAAUGUGUAAGUAAAUAUGCACGUCUUGACGGUACCUAAUCAGAAAGCCACGGCUAACUACGUG
rnacentral:rRNA from 1 species